rnacentral:rRNA from 1 species
GUCCACGCCGUAAACGAUGAGAACUAGAUGUCGCGGGUGUUGACCCCUGCGGUGUCGCAGCUAACGCAUUAAGUUCUCCGCCUGGGAAGGUACGGUCGCAAGAUUAAAACUACAAGGAAUUGACGGGGGCCCGGCACAAGCGGUGGAGCAUGUGGUUUAAUUCGACGCAACGCGCAGAACCUUACCUGGUCUUGACAUCCUUCGAAGCCGACCCAAAAGUUGGCGUGCCCGCAAGGGAGCGGAGAGACAGGUGCUGCAUGGCUGUCGU